rnacentral:tRNA from 1 species
GUGUAUAGCGCAGCCUGGUAGCGCAUCUGGUUUGGGACCAGAGGGUCGCUGGUUCGAUUCCAGCUACACCGACC